UAUAUAUAUAUAUAUAUAAAGUUGUAUGUUUUAAACCUGCUUUUAUAAGGGCUAGUUCCAGUAGUCCUCGCCAGGUCAAAAAGAAAAGCGGUCCACAGUUCAGGGGCCAGAAGACGCGGACUGUACCCCUCCGGCUCCUGCAAAAUCCAGGCUCCAAAAGCCCCAUCCUUGCAGACCUCAGGGGGUGGGAUGGCACACAAAGAGGCUCUGAAAGGUAUCUGGGACCAUGCAAUGCUUCAAGGGCGUUUGACUGAUUCUACUGUUGUUAUCAAGUACCCAAUGGAAUUGCUUAUAGUGAAUUUGGCAAUAAUACCCUAUAGAAGCAGGACUUUGAACUUAUAUAGUACUUUUGAUCCGGGGAUCUAAAAGGAGGGGGUCUGUCAUUAUUAUUAUUAUUAUUAUUCCCAUUUUACAGAGGGUGAAACCGAGGCAGACAACAUUUUCCCAAGGUUGUACUGCAAAGUAGCUGCAAAAGGGAGGUGGACAAAGAAAUUAGCUCUUCCCCUCAUACCCUUUUUUUUUUUUUUUCCAUGAACCAAACUGAUCAAGAGCGCUUUCUCUGAUACAUAUCAUAAACUGGAACCAAACUCCUGGUGUUGAGAACAGCAAGGUCUUUCUGCUCAUUGCUGCAUGCUUCCAUGGCAAGCGAAAACCACCCGGUAAAUCUCCUGGAAGGUGACCGGCAUUCACAGCCCACUGGCCUGGAUCCGGCAGCAUUUGCUUUGCCAACUCUUGCUGCCUCAUUGCCCUCAUUCUUGCCCUUCUUUUGGCCAGCGUGGCCAGAACAGGCAACUUCCUAAGAAGGAAACAAGGAAAGCUGGAUUUCUUGAACCUCUACCAUGAGGGUUGUCCAGGUGGCAUUUUGCCCUCUUACUAGUGGGGACUCGAGGACGGCCACUGCACCAGGAGGCUGGGAAAAAACCCAUGUCUUAAAAAGCAUUGAUGUAAGGAAGCAGUUGACAGGAAAAUCAAGCAGUGUUGUAGAAGAGGCUUUAUUAUUAUUUUUUUUAACCAACAGGAAAAAAAAAAAAAAAAAGUUGAGCUUUGCGAGUAGAAACUCAGAGCCUGUUCAAAAUAGCAUUACCAGUGGAAAAACAGGUAGAGAGGUGGCCCCUCCGUGACCCACGCAUAUCCGCGCUGCAACAGCCACGGGAGCUCGGUGGGGAACAAGAGGCUGCACGAAGCCCUCCAGCACCAAACCAAGGAUUCAGCCAAGGAUUUUACUGCCACAGCAAAUUUAUACUGAAAAAUAAAUACAUAACAAUAAUUAAAAAUCCCA
rnacentral:lncRNA from 1 species